rnacentral:rRNA from 1 species
UACGUAGGCAGCAAGCGUUGUUCGGAAUUACUGGGCGUAAAGAGUGUGUAGGCGGUGCUCCAAGUCUGUUGUGAAAUCUCCCGGCUUAACUGGGAGGGUGCGGCGGAAACUGGAAUGCUAGAGGGUGGGAGAGGUAAGCGGAAUUCCUGGUGUAGCGGUGAAAUGCGUAGAUAUCAGGAGGAACACCUGUGGUGUAGACAGCUUACUGGACCACUUCUGACGCUGAGACACGAAAGCGUGGGUAGCAAACAGG